rnacentral:rRNA from 1 species
GAUGAACGCUGGCGGCGUGCUUAACACAUGCAAGUCGAACGAUGAAGCCGGGUGCUUGCACCGGGUGGAUUAGUGGCGAACGGGUGAGUAUCACGUGAGUAACCUUCCCUUGACUCUGGGAUAAGCCUGGGAAACUGGGUCUAAUACCGGAUAUGAGCAGUCACCGCAUGGUGUGCUGGAGGAAAGCUUUAGCGGUUUUGGAUGGACUCUCGGCCUAUCAGCUUAAAGGUGAGGUAAUGGCUCACCGUGGCGAUGACGGGUUGCCGGCAUGAGAGGGGGACCGGGCACACUGGGACUGAGACACGGCCCAGACUCCAACGGGGGGCAGCAGUGGGGAAUAUUGCACAAUGGGCGAAAGCCUGAUGCAGCGACGCCGCGUGUGGGAUGACGGCCUUCGGGGUGUGAACCACUUUCAGCAGGGAAGAAGCUUUUUGUGGCGGGACCUGUAGAAGAAGCGCCGGUCAAUUACGG